CGCUGGCCACCGGACGGAAGUGCGUAACGGAAGUGCUGGCGGCCGUGUGUAAGACGCGGCCGGGCGUGCGGACUAUCGCGGGGCCUUCUCUGAGGAGGCUGCCUCAGUGAGGCAACCCUGACAAGUAGUGCCCGACCAGGGACCUGAACGAGGAAGGUCUGCCAGAGCAGAGAAAGUGAAACUGAUUAGAGGAACUAGGAACCCCUGGAAGGAAAAGUCUGCAGGUGGAGAAUAUAAGGAGAUGGACAAACCGUGUGGGUGCCCUCCAGGUGUGUGUGACCAUGGAAUGGGAGACCAGAGGGAUCCAUGGUAUUCAACCAUGGGCCUGUUCCCUCCAGUACGAGCCAUGAGCCAGCGGAAUCUGAAUGCGAAGACAGAACGAGGGCCGACCGGAGUCACAAUGACAGCCAACCCCAUAACAUGGGGACAGAUCAAGAAAACCACACAGGAAGCUGAGAAGCUGCUGGAGCGCCAGGGUCAGGCAAAAACCCCUGACUCCAUGUUCUUGGCCAUGCUAGCUGUAGUGUCCUGUGCGUCUAUAGGAUCAGGUGAACCACCAACCAGCAAUUGAAAGCUGCACAGCCUGAAAUUACCUUUAUUCAAUUAAUGCAAAAACAAAAAGGGGGAGAUGUUGGAGGCCGAAGGAAUGAGGGUCGUGACCAACUCAAUAUACCACUGGAGGCUCUAUGAGCGAACAGCAAACUGUUCUCAUGAAAGCAAGAUGCUGGCAAACUGACAAACUGUGUCUGCCACCAGAAGGAAUGCUGGGGGCAGUCAUGUCCCAGGUCCCAUGCUCCUUGAGGUUAUCUACAGGAACAUCUAGAACCUGUUGAACAAAGAAAGCAAUCAUGUGGGCCUGUGUUAAAUAGCUGACUGACAGUUACCCCUUCCUCCCUAUUCACUCUACCUAAUAAAUAUGAAGGGCUGUAAAAGCUCAGGGCCCUUGUUCCCUAGAAUCAAGGAGCCCCCUGACCCCUUCUUUCAAACAGA